rnacentral:rRNA from 1 species
CUUGAACCGCAUGGUUCAAGGAUGAAGACGGUUUCGGCUGUCACUUACAGAUGGACCCGCGGCGCAUUAGCUAGUUGGUGGGGUAAUGGCUCACCAAGGCGACGAUGCGUAGCCGACCUGAGAGGGUGAUCGGCCACACUGGGACUGAGACAGGCCCAGACUCCUACGGGAGGCAGCAGUAGGGAAUCUUCCGCAAUGGACGAAAGUCUGACGGAGCAACGCCGCGUGAGUGAUGAAGGUUUUCGGAUCGUAAAGCUCUGUUGUUAGGGAAGAACAAGUCGAGAGUAACUGCUCGCACCUUGACGGUACCUAACCAGAAAGCCACGGCUAACUACGUGCCAGCAGCCGCGGUAAUACGUAGGUGGCAAGCGUUGUCCGGAAUUAUUGGGCGUAAAGGGCUCGCAGGGGUUUCUUAAGUCUGAUGUGAAAGCCCCCGGCUCAACCGGGGAGGGUCAUUGGAAACUGGGAAACUUGAGUGCAGAAGAGGAGAGUGGAAUUCCACGUGUAGCGGUGAAAUGCGUAGAGAUGUGGAGAACACCAGUGGCGAAGGCGACUCUCUGGUCUGUAACUGACGCUGAGGAGCGAAAGCGUGGGGAGCGAACAGGAUUAGAUACCCUGGUAGUCCACGCCGUAAACGAUGAGUGCUAAGUGUUAGGGGGUCCGCCCCUUAGUGCUGCAGCUAACGCAUUAAGCACUCCGCCUGGGGAGUACGGUCGCAAGACUGAAACUCAAAGGAAUUGACGGGGGCCCGCACAAGCGGUGGAGCAUGUGGUUUAAUUCGAAGCAAGCGAAGAACCUUACCAGGUCUUGACAUCCUCUGACAACCCUAGAGAUAGGGCUUUCCCUUCGGGGACAGAGUGACAGGUGGUGCAUGGUUGUCGUCAGCUCGUGUCGUGAGAUGUUGGGUUAAGUCCGCAACGAGCGCAACCCUUGAUCUUAGUUGCCAGCAUUCAGUUGGGCACUCUAAGGUGACUGCCGGUGACAAACCGGAGGAAGGUGGGGAUGACGUCAAAUCAUCAUGCCCCUUAUGACCUGGGCUAC